rnacentral:rRNA from 1 species
CUACGGGUCGCUGCAGUGGGGAAUAUUGCACAAUGGAGGAAACUCUGAUGCAGCAACGCCGCGUGGAGGAUGCCCCUUGGCUUCUGGUAAACUCCUUUUAUAUAGGAAGAAGAUGACGGUACUAUAUGAAUAAGCGCCGGCUAACUCCGUGCCAGCAGCCGCGGUAAUACGGAGGGCGCAAGCGUUACUCGGAGUCACUGGGCGUAAAGAGCGUGUAGGCGGAUUAAAAAGUCAGAAGUGAAAUCCUAUAGCUUAACUAUAGAACUGCUUCUGAAACUCUUAAUCUAGAAUAUGGGAGAGGUAGAUGGAAUUUCUGGUGUAGGGGUACAAUCCGUAGAGAUCAGAAGGAAUACCGAUUGCGAAGGCGAUCUACUAGAACAUUAUUGACGCUGAGACGCGAAAGCGUGGGGAGCAAACAGGAUUAGAUACCCGAGUAGUC